rnacentral:rRNA from 3 species
AAAUUGAAGAGUUUGAUCAUGGCUCAGAUUGAACGCUGGCGGCAGGCCUAACACAUGCAAGUCGAACGGUAACAGGAAGCAGCUUGCUGCUUUGCUGACGAGUGGCGGACGGGUGAGUAAUGUCUGGGAAACUGCCUGAUGGA